rnacentral:rRNA from 1 species
CCUACGGGAGGCAGCAGUGAGGAAUAUUGGUCAAUGGGCGCAAGCCUGAACCAGCCAAGUCGCGUGAGGGAUGACGGCCCUACGGGUUGUAAACCUCUUUUGUCGGGGAGCAAAGCCCGCCACGUGUGGCGGGAAGGAGAUUACCCGCAGAAAAAGCAUCGGCUAACUCCGUGCCAGCAGCCGCGGUAAUACGGAGGAUGCGAGCGUUAUCCGGUUUUAUUGGGUUUAAAGGGUGCGUAGGCGGAUGUUUAAGUCAGUGGUAAAAUGUAGGGGCUCAACACCGAGCUGCCAUUGAAACUGGUCGUCUUGAGUGGAAGAGAAGUAUGCGGAAUGCGUGGUGUAGCGGUGAAAUGCAUAGAUAUCACGCAGAACUCCGAUUGCGAAGGCAGCAUACCGG